CGCGGCCUAUCAGCUUGUUGGUGGGGUGAUGGCCUACCAAGGCGACGACGGGUAGCCGGCCUGAGAGGGCGACCGGCCACACUGGGACUGAGACACGGCCCAGACUCCUACGGGAGGCAGCAGUGGGGAAUAUUGCACAAUGGGCGGAAGCCUGAUGCAGCGACGCCGCGUGAGGGAUGACGGCCUUCGGGUUGUAAACCUCUUUCAGCAGGGACGAAGCGAGAGUGACGGUACCUGCAGAAGAAGCGCCGGCCAACUACGUGCCAGCAGCCGCGGUAAGACGUAGGGCGCGAGCGUUGUCCGGAUUUAUUGGGCGUAAAGAGCUCGUAGGCGGCUUGUCGCGUCGAAUGUGAAAACCCACGGCUCAACUGUGGGCUUGCAUUCGAUACGGGCAGGCUAGAGUUCGGUAGGGGAGACUGGAAUUCCUGGUGUAGCGGUGAAAUGCGCAGAUAUCAGGAGGAACACCGGUGGCGAAGGCGGGUCUCUGGGCCGAUACUGACGCUGAGGAGCGAAAGCGUGGGGAGCGAACAGGAUUAGAUACCCUGGUAGUCCACGCUGUAAACGUUGGGCGCUAGGUGUGGGGGGCCUCUCCGGUUCUCUGUGCCGCAGCUAACGCAUUAAGCGCCCCGCC
rnacentral:rRNA from 1 species